CAGACGGGUGAGUAACGCGUAGGAAUCUACCCUUUAGCGAGGAAUAGCCCACCGAAAGGUGGGGUAAUACCUCAUAGUCCUUAUACUCGAGAGUUUAUAAGGUAAAGAUUUAUCACUAGAGGAGGGGCCUGCGUCCUAUCAGGUAGUUGGUGGGGUAAUAGCCUACCAAGCCUAUGACGGGUAGCCGGUGUGAGAGCACGACCGGCCACAAGGUUACUGAGACACGGAACCUACACCUACGGGUGGCAGCAACCAGGAAUAUUGCGCAAUGGACGAAAGUCUGACGCAGCGACACCGCGUGUGGGAUGAAGCUCUUCGGAGUGUAAACCACUGUGGCGAGGGAGGAAUAAAUGACAGUACCUCGCUAGAAAGCACCAGCUAACUACGUGCCAGAAGCUUCGGUAAUACGUAGGGUGCAAGCGUUAUCCGGAUUUACUGGGCGUAAAGGGUCCGUAGGCGACCUGAUAAGUCUCUUGUUUAAGCCCGAGGCUCAACUUCGGACAGGCAAGAGAAACUAUUAGGAUUGAGUUAGUUCGAGGUAGCUGGAAUUCUCGGUGGAGGGGUGAAAUCCGUAGAGAUCGAGAGGAACGUCAAACGCGAAGGCAAGCUACUAGGACAUAACUGACGCUAAGGGACGAAAGCUUGGGUAGCAAAAGGGAUUAGAGACCCCUGUAGUCCAAGCCGUAAACUAUC
rnacentral:rRNA from 1 species